UCUCAAGGAGUCAGACACGACUGAGCGACUUUCACUUCACUCACAAAGAGGGCAAGGGGACCAAGGUAGGCAGCUUCCAAAAGAGCUCCCAAUGGUCUCUGCCUCUUGGUAUUCGAACCCAGGAGUAAUCCCCUCCCCUUACAGCCUCACAUUCAUCAAAUGGACUGUAGCAAAAUUGUGGAAUGUCACUUCUAAGAGUAGGGAACAAAUACCUGAUCCUGGGCUAACUUGAAUGAAUGACUGAAAGAGGCUGAAAAGUCUUCAUGGGUAGCAGGAAACGUGGAGUCCCUGAGAUUGAGAAGAGACCUCCACUCACCGCAAAAAGAUUCCCUGAGCAUUCGGUGAGCGCUCAGCCCCCAGCAAGUCUCGGGACUCUCCCCAGGCAGGCAGCCCAGCCCCAGCCUGCAGGGACACAGUCAGGUGGCAGCCUUCUCACUCACGAGAGAGUCCUCCCACACCGACACAGCAGCCUCUCCAGCCCUGUGGGACAGAGGGAGCCAACACAGAAACAGACGUGGCCUCCGCUCCUGUGAAUUUCUCAGUCUGCGGAGGGUUGGUACUCAUAGAUGUAGACAUAGCAUGUGCAUGCUGAUUCAUGCUAGAGUGGAGAGGAACACAGUGGGAUGAGGAAUCUCUUUGAGAAAGGGGCGGUUAAGUCCGGUCCUGAUGAGGGUAGGGAGGAAGGGUGUUCUGAGCAGCACAAUGGAGGUUCCAGGGUGGAAUGCAGUGGAAACAGUGAUGAGGACGUGGGAUGAGGAUGGACAGGUGGGCAGGGACAUGCAAGGAAGUUUGCUCUUAACCAGGAGGAGCAGGAGAACCACUAACAGGUGCUGAGAAGGAAAGGAUGUGAUGCAGUUACGGGUUAUGCGGCUCAGUCUGGCUGCUAGGGGACAGAGGCGUCAUGACCAGAGGGUGGUGAGGAGUAAGAGGUUGUAAGUAAUGACUUGACUGUGGGGGCAGCGCUGGGGAUGAAGAAAAGUCACCAAACGGAAAGCACAUCUGAAGUCAGAGCUCCUGGUUUGUGAUGGAUCAGAAAGAGGAAGGGAGGAAUAGGGUUUUGAAGACUAUACCCAAACUCUACUUCCAGGAAGAAUUUCUUCAACAGGUCAUUUCAUUGCCACAGAGAAGUACAGAUAUUCUGUACAACACACAGAACUUCCUAGUAAGAGGAUGCUGUGUCCUUCUUGAUUCAGGGCUGAAGGCAGUAUUUCCUCCCCUCCUGUCCAGUUUUGACUAUUCCUGUAUCAUUCAACUGUGUGUUCAUUCUUUAAGCAACACAUGUACCUAGUUUCUAUAUUUUCUAUAUGGGCCGAACUGUGAAAUACACAGAAAAAAUGAGAUAGCAAUCCCUAGGAGGUAUAUCAGGGCUUACAGGGUGGAUCUGCAGUAAAAAAUCUGCCUGCAAUGCAGUAGAUGCAGGAGAAGUGGGUUCCAUCUGUGGGU